rnacentral:rRNA from 1 species
UACGUAGGGUGCAAGCGUUGUCCGGAUUUAUUGGGCGUAAAGAGCUCGUAGGCGGCUCAGUAAGUCAGGUGUGAAAACUCCAGGCUCAACCUGGAGACGCCACCUGAUACUGCUGUGGCUAGAGUCCGGUAGGGGAGCAUGGAAUUCCUGGUGUAGCGGUGAAAUGCGCAGAUAUCAGGAGGAACACCAGUGGCGAAGGCGGUGCUCUGGGCCGGAACUGACGCUGAGGAGCGAAAGCGUGGGUAGCAAACAGG